GAGUAACGUACAGGAUGGGAGAAGUCAUUCACAUCAGAGGACCAUCAGCAGCUUUUAAACAGAAACAUCCACUCACAAGCUCUAUGAACAAAAAUCUGUUCUGACAAAUUCAGAGCCAGAAAUGUCUGAAAAGAGGUGAACUGAAAGAAGAGGGGAAUUGCUCACUUCUCUCAUUAUGUGAGGCCUAAAGAUAAGUUCUUAGGAGCUGUUCGCAAAGUGAGUAGACCAUUUGCGAGGAAAAAAAGCCUGCUAUGUCACACUGAUUUGGCUUAAACAAAACUGCAAGGAGCUUUCAGCAAAAGGAACAUCCUCAGACAAAGACAAAUGGAUCCAGCUCCAGACCAUGGAACAAAAUAAUUGGUUAUCCACAAUAGGCCCACAUGGAUAACUUAGAUAUUUCUAAGAAAAACAGGAAACAUUUUAAGAACUAAUAAUAAGAGAGCAUUUCAGGUAAGAGUAAGCUGAUAAGAGAAUUGCCAUAUCAAGUGUCACUGGUAACAGCACUAAUUAAAAUGUUUAUGGCUUCUCCAUAACUGAGUAGUUUCAGUGAUUGUGGUAAUGGAGGUUUUGCUUUUAUUCUGAGAGAUAUAAGGUGGCCAGCAAGAUUUGGGCAUCAGAUAGCAGAUAGUGUUCAUAGCCUUAUGAGAAGCAGAUUUGAGUAAGAACAAGUGAUGUGUAAUCACUGCCCUUUCUGUAAAAAUAAAUAAAUAAAUAAAGAAAAAUCAGCAUUUUAUUUCUAUAUUUCAAAUACAAAAAAUAUCAAAAUUUAAAGAAAAAAAUCAUGGAAAAUUUUAAAGUUUACUGGUGGUUUCAUAUGCUUCUUCUUUAUAUGCAAACAAAUUCUUUUCUGUCAGAAUAAACAUAAAAAUCAAGGUAUAUGACACUUAGUCAUUAACUUCUACUAAUUCAAUUUGCAAAAUAAACUUGUCUAAGAUCAGUCUUAGGCAUACACUACACAAACACAGUGAAUACUAUGACUGUAAAUCCAGGGGCCAAGUCAACUUCUGCCCUGCUCCUGUUGGAAGG